GGCUCAGAACGUACGCUGGCGGCACGCCUAACACAUGCAAGUCGAACGAAGUAGCAAUACUUAGUGGCAGACGGGUGAGUAACAUGUAGGUAUCUGCCCUUUGGCCUGGAAUAACACGAGGAAACUUGUGCUAAUACCGGAUAAGUCUUUACGGAGAAAGCUUUAUGCACCAUUGGAUGAGCCUGCACUUGAUUAGUUUGUUGGUGGGGUAAUGGCCUACCAAGACUGUGAUCAAUAGCUGAUUUGAGAGGAUGAUCAGCCACAUUGGGACUGAGACACGGCCCAAACUCCUACGGGAGGCAGCAGUGGGGAAUCUUGCACAAUGGAGGAAACUCUGAUGCAGCGAUGCCGCGUGAGUGAAGAAGGCCUUUGGGUUGUAAAGCUCUUUCGUCGGGGAAGAAAAUGACUGUACCCGAAUAAGAAGGUCCGGCUAACUUCGUGCCAGCAGCCGCGGUAAUACGAAGGGACCUAGCGUAGUUCGGAAUUACUGGGCUUAAAGAGUUCGUAGGUGGUUGAAAAAGUUGGUGGUGAAAUCCCAGAGCUUAACUCUGGAACUGCCAUCAAAACUUUUCAGCUAGAGUAUGAUAGAGGAAAGCAGAAUUUCUAGUGUAGAGGUGAAAUUCGUAGAUAUUAGAAAGAAUACCAAUUGCGAAGGCAGCUUUCUGGAUCAUUACUGACACUGAGGAACGAAAGCAUGGGUAGCGAAGAGGAUUAGAUACCCUCGUAGUCCAUGCCGUAAACGAUGUGUGUUAGACGUUGGAAAUUUAUUUUCAGUGUCGCAGGGAAACCGAUAAACACACCGCCUGGGGAGUACGACCGCAAGGUUAAAACUCAAAUGAAUUGACGGGGACCCGCACAAGUAGUGGAGCAUGUGGUUUAAUUCGAAGAUACGCGCAGAACCUUACCAACACUUGACAUGUUCGUCGCGACUCUAAGAGAUUAGAGUUUUCGGUUCGGCCGGACGAAACACAGGUGCUGCAUGGCUGUCGUCAGCUCGUGUCGUGAGAUGUUGGGUUAAGUCCCGCAACGAGCGCAACCCUCACUUUUAGUUGCCAUCAUUAAGUUGGGCACUCUGAAAGAACUGCCAGUGAUAAGCUGGAGGAAGGUGGGGAUGACGUCAAGUCCUCAUGGCCCUUACGUGUUGGGCUACACACGUGCUACAAUGGUAUCUACAACAGGAAGCAAAACUGCGAAGUUAAGCAAAUCCUUAAAAGAUACCUCAGUUCGGAUUGCACUCUGCAACUCGAGUGCAUGAAGCUGGAAUUACUAGUAAUCGUGGAUCAGCGUGCCACGGUGAAUGCGUUCCCGGGUCUUGUACACACCGCCCGUCACACCAUGGGAGUUGGUUCUACCUUAAGGCAAGGUUUCAAACCCUUGACCACGGUAUAGUCAGCGACUGGGGUGAAGUCGUAACAAGGUAGCCG
rnacentral:rRNA from 1 species